rnacentral:rRNA from 1 species
GACGGAGGAUGCAAGUGUUAUCCGGAAUUAUUGGGCGUAAAGCGUUUGUAGGUGGAUAAACAAGUCGAUCGUUAAAUAUAGGGGCUUAACCUCUACUCAGCGAUCGAAACUGUUUAUCUUGAGGGUGGUAGGGGUAGAAGGAAUUCCUAGUGUAGCGGUGAAAUGCGUAGAUAUUAGGAAGAACACCAACGGCGAAGGCAUUCUGCUGGGCCACACCUGACACUGAGAAACGAAAGCUAGGGGAGCGAAUGGGAUUAGAUACCCCAGUAGUCCUAGCCGUAAACGAUGGAUACUAGAGGAUAUGCGUUCGCCGUAUUCUCGCAGUUCACACAGUAAGUAUCCCGCCUGGGGAGUACGCUCGCAAGGGUG